rnacentral:misc_RNA from 1 species
GUAAUUGUUUUGUUAUCGACAUUUUCAGGCCCAGAAAUUUCUUGCGUCCGUAUAUCGCAACAACAGGCAGCAGCCUUUACACAAAAAAGGCACAUAAAUUGUCAAGGUGUCAAAAAUGGAAGGAGGGAACACCAAGACAGGCCAAAAGAUAGUGGUGGCAGUGGAUGAGAGCAGGGAGAGCAUGCAUGCUCUCUUUUGGUGUCUCUCUAACCUUGUCUCUCCCACUUCUAAUAGCACUCUAGUCCUCCUUUACGUUAGGCCCCCACCUCCUAUCUACUCUCCCUUUGACGCUGCAGGGUACAUGUUUUCUGGUGAUGCGAUUUCUACCAUGGAAAAAUAUGGCAAGGAUUUGGUGAACUCCGUGAUGCAACGAGCAGAAGCUGUAUACAGGAACUUCAAUGUAAAAGUAGAAAGAGUAGUUGGGAGAGGAGAGGCAAAGGAUGUGAUAUGUAAUACAGUAGAGAAACUUGACGCUGACAUCCUUGUUAUGGGAAGCCAUGGUUAUGGUUUCUUGGAG